UGCAGUUUUCCUUAAAGCCAUCAGAAAGAAUUAAUUAUUCUGUGCUAAUGUUACAUAGCACAUUACUUGUUAUACCAAAACACAAUUUCAUAUAUGGUUUUGGUGUAUUUCUAUUCAAAGUUAGUCAAGAUUCCUAUUUUACUUCCAAAGUGCCUCCUAUGUAUAUGGUCUUUGAAGAAAAAUGCCUUAUGGAGCAGAAUCUAUAACCACUUUAUAGCGGUCUUGCCAUCACUUCUGCCCAGAGCAAAGAUUUAACUACUCUAUAAAGAUUGCAGAGCCAAAUAAAAGGCAUUUCAUUAAUUCAGAUAAUAGAUUAAUUUCAGCACAUCUCCACCAUCCUGAUGAGAGAC